AACAAACGCUGGCGGCGUGCCUAAUACAUGCAAGUCGAACGAGGUAGCAAUUCCUAGUGGCGCACGGGUGAGUAACGCGUGGAUAAUCUGCCUUAGAGUGGGGGAUAACUAGUCGAAAGAUUAGCUAAUACCGCAUAAGACCACAGGAGCUGCGGCUCUCGGGGUCAAAGGUUUUUCGCUCUAAGAUGAGUCCGCGUAAGAUUAGCUAGUUGGUGAGGUAAUGGCUCACCAAGGCGACGAUCUUUAACUGGUCUGGGAGGAUGAUCAGUCACGCUGGAACGGAGAAACGGUCCAGACUCCUACGGGAGGCAGCAGUAGGGAAUAUUGCACAAUGGAGGAAACUCUGCUGCAGCGACGCCGCGUGAGUGAUGAAGGCCUUCGGGUCGUAAAGCUCUGUCGCAGGGGAAUAACACAAUGAAUGUACCCUGUAAGAAAGGAUCGGCUAACUUCGUGCCAGCCGCCGCGGUAACAC
rnacentral:rRNA from 1 species